rfam:Streptomyces rubellomurinus strain ATCC 31215 contig-138, whole genome shotgun sequence.
CUUGAUGGACCCCAGCCACAGCGGCUCCCCGGCGCGGUCCCGGCCGUAGGUGGCCAGCAGCGCCUGGGCCUC